rnacentral:rRNA from 1 species
GACGAACGCUGGCGGCGUGCUUAACACAUGCAAGUCGAACGGAAAGGCCCUGCUUUUGUGGGGUGCUCGAGUGGCGAACGGGUGAGUAACACGUGAGUAACCUGCCCUUGACUUUGGGAUAACUUCAGGAAACUGGGGCUAAUACCGGAUAGGAGCUCCUGCUGCAUGGUGGGGGUUGGAAAGUUUCGGCGGUUGGGGAUGGACUCGCGGCUUAUCAGCUUGUUGGUGGGGUAGUGGCUUACCAAGGCUUUGACGGGUAGCCGGCCUGAGAGGGUGACCGGCCACAUUGGGACUGAGAUACGGCCCAGACUCCUACGGGAGGCAGCAGUGGGGAAUAUUGCACAAUGGGCGGAAGCCUGAUGCGGCAACGCCGCGUGCGGGAUGACGGCCUUCGGGUUGUAAACCGCUUUCGCCUGUGACGAAGCGUGAGUGACGGUAAUAGGUAAAGAAGCACCGGCUAACUACGUG